rnacentral:rRNA from 1 species
AUUGAACGCUGGCGGCAGGCUUAACACAUGCAAGUCGAGCGGGGGAAGGUAGCUUGCUACUGGACCUAGCGGCGGACGGGUGAGUAAUGCUUAGGAAUCUGCCUAUUAGUGGGGGACAACAUCUCGAAAGGGAUGCUAAUACCGCAUACGUCCUACGGGAGAAAGCAGGGGAUCUUCGGACCUUGCGCUAAUAGAUGAGCCUAAGUCGGAUUAGCUAGUUGGUGGGGUAAAGGACUACCAAGGCGACGAUCUGUAGCGGGUCUGAGAGGAUGGUGCGCCACACUGGGACUGAGACACGGCCCAGACUCCUACGGGAGGCAGCAGUGGGGAAUAUUGGACAACGGGGGGAACCCUGAUCCAGCCAUGCCGCGUGUGUGAAGAAGGCCUUAUGGUUGUAAAGCACUUUAAGCGAGGAGGAGGCUACUCUAGUUAAUACCUAGGGAUAGUGGACGUUACUCGCAGAAUAAGCACCGGCUAACUCUGUGCCAGCCGCCGCGGUAA